UAGAAUUCCAGGUGUAGCGGUGAAAUGCGUAGAGUUCUGGAGGAAUACCGGUGGCGAAGGCGGCCCCCUGGACAAAGACUGACGCUCAGGUGCGAAAUCGUGGGGAGCAAACAGGAUUAGAUACCCUGGUAGUCCACGCUGUAAACGAUGUCGACUUGGAGGUUGUUCCCUUGAGGAGUGGCUUCCGGAGCUAACGCGUUAAGUCGACCGCCUGGGGAGUACGGCCGCAAGGUUAAAACUCAAAUGAAUUGACGGGGGCCCGCACAAGCGGUGGAGCAUGUGGUUUAAUUCGAUGCAACGCGAAGAACCUUACCUACUCUUGACAUCCAGAGAAUUUAGCAGAGAUGCUUUGGUGCCUUCGGGAACUCUGAGACAGGUGCUGCAUGGCUGUCGUCAGCUCGUGUUGUGAAAUGUUGGGUUAAGUCCCGCAACGAGCGCAACCCUUAUCCUUUGUUGCCAGCGAUUCGGUCGGGAACUCAAAGGAGACUGCCAGUGAUAAACUGGAGGAAGGUGGUGAUGACGUCAAGUCAUCAUGGCCCUUACGAGUAGGGCUACACACGUGCUACAAUGGCAUAUACAAAGAGAAGCGACCUCGCGAGAGCAAGCGGACCUCAUAAAGUAUGUCGUAGUCCGGAUUGGAGUCUGCAAGUCGACUCCAUGAAGUCGGAAUCACUAGUAAUCGUGGAUCAGAAUGCCACGGUGAAUACGUUCCC
rnacentral:rRNA from 1 species